rnacentral:lncRNA from 1 species
CAGGGGCUACGAUUCAAGUACAAUCUCCAAAUAUCUCAAAGUUGCUUCAGGUAACUUUUUCCACCGCUGCCUUACCAUCUGCCACUUCCUGUGCAUGCUAAAUUAUAUUACCAGAUUAAUUAAAACAAGUUCUUCAUGGUGGAGAGAGGGAGGGGGGGCUGUAUCAUCAUAUCAAUCACACACAGACAUUUUAGGGUCUAGGGUGGAUACUCUGAGUUCAACCGAAAUAAGAUAUGCUAGUUAGGUCAAUGGUACUCCCUCCGUUCGAAAAAGCUUGUCCCUUAAAUGAAUGUAUCUACCACCAAGUCAGUGCUAGAUACAUUCAUUUGAAAGACAAGCUUUUUCGAGCGGAGGGAGUACGUACCAUUCAUCUGAAGACAUUUCUAGGAUCGGUGACGUCUAGCGCUGCUGAUUUGGGAAUACCAUGCUGAGGUGUUGAAGACAUUAUAGUAUAUAGAUACACACCGGCAACAUACAAAUCUAGCAUGUGGUGGAAGCAGAUAUACGGCCAAUACUCAAGUAAAAUGCUAGCAUUUGGGAACCACUGAAAUUCUCCCCAGAGCAAUUACCUUUUCCUGUGACACAUUUCCACUUGGGUGUUGCUGGAUUCUACUACUAUAAACUAUUUACUUGUAGAUCAGCUCUACAUCUUCUAACAAGUCUGAACUAUUUCAGCUUUCCGUUUCACAAGGAAGCCCAAAUUAAGUGGUGGUUAUAUAUUAGGGCUGCGCUAUGUAGUCGUUUAUGGAUCAGCUUCUUGUUUCUUCCCAACAAUUACUGAAGACUUGUGCUAAAUUUGAUGCGCCAGGUACAAAAGAAAAUUAAUAUCGAAAGGACCAGAGAUGCCAUUACUACGAUGCAAGUAGGAUCUCCAGAAAUCUCCAAACAAGCUAGCUAGCCAGGGAAUCCAUAUGAUUGCCGGGACAAGAAGGCGCAGCUGCAGUGUGCAUGAUAUAUGGUGUUGGGCGGGCCGAUGAUUAAUCCGGGUGUGGUAUGAGAUGAGCAAGGCUAGUGAUUCCCUGGCAUAUCAAGUUAGAACUAAUAUAUAAUCUUUUAGAUAAAAGACCUUACAUUAGUUUACAGAGGAACACUUCUUAGAAAUGCAGUACAAUAUGCGUUGCCCUUUUGAUUGCUGCAGGGUGUCUGUUGUCAUGUCUUGUGCACAGAUAUGCAGGACAACUUGCUGCACGUACGUUUGAUGUUUAUUAGGUGGUGGCGUG